AUUGAACGCUGGCGGCACGCCUAACACAUGCAAGUCGAGCGGCAGCGAGAGUAGUAGCAAUACUACUUGUCGGCGAGCGGCGGACGGGUGAGUAAUACGUAGGAACUUGCCCAAAAGUGGGGGAUAACUAAGGGAAACUUUAGCUAAUACCGCAUAUACUCGAGAGAGGAAAGGAGCUCGUAGGGGUUUCGCUUUUGGAGAGGCCUGCGUCCAAUUAGCUUGUUGGUGAGGUAAAAGCUCACCAAGGCGAUGAUCGGUAACUGGUCUGAGAGGACAACCAGUCACACUGGGACUGAAACACGGCCCAAACUCCUACGGGAGGCAGCAGUGGGGAAUAUUGGACAAUGGGGGAAACCCUGAUCCAGCGAUGCCGCGUGGGUGAAGAAGGCCUUCGGGUUGUAAAGCCCUUUAGGUUGGGAAGAAGUUAUACUGAGGAAAUGCAGUAUGAUUGACGGUACCGACAGAAUAAGCACCGGCAAACUCUGUG
rnacentral:rRNA from 1 species